AUGGCCUGAGCCCCUCUCCUCUUUACACUGCUCGCCCACGGCUCAGGUUCCCUGGUCCAGGCAGCGCUGACUCAGCCACCCUCCGUGUCAGCGAACGUGGGACAAACCGUCCAGAUCACUUGCUCCGGUGUUAGCAGCACCAAUGCUGUUGGCUGGUACCAGCAGAAGGUUCCUGGCAGCGCCCCUGUCACUGUGAUCUAUACUAACAACAAGAGACCCUCGGACAUCCCUUCGCGAUUCUCCGGAUCUACAUCUGGCUCCACGGGCACGUUAACCAUCACUGGGGUCCAAGCCGAGGACGAGGCUGUCUAUUACUGUGGUGGCUACGACAGCAGCAGCUAUGGUUCCCUGGUCCAGGCAGCGCUGACUCAGCCACCCUCGGUGUCAGCGAACGUGGGACAAACCGUCCAGAUCACCUGCUCCGGGGGUAGUGAUGAUGUUGGCUGGUUCCAGCAGAAGGUUCCUGGCAGUGCCCCUGUCACUGUGAUCUACGAAAACAACAAGAGACCCUCAGACAUCCCUUCACGAUUCUCCGGAUCCAAGUCUGGCUCCACAGGCACGUUAACCAUCACUGGGGUCCAAGCCGAGGACGAGGCUGUCUAUUACUGUGGUGACUACGAAAGCGGCAACAAUAGUGUCUGGGGACAAUGAGUGAUAGGAAGUGAGACACGGGCUCCCAAAUCGGAGGAAGGGUUUCAGCCCUUUUCCCUCAUGGCCCAGCAGAGUUGUGGCUGUGCAGCUGAGGCAGGUUCCUCUCCCCUCUGCACAGCCAUUGCUGUGAAUGGCCUCCCUUUCACGUCCUAGAGCACUGGAGGUGACUUUGUGCUGGGGACCAUUGUUCCUGUCCUUGCAAAGUUCACUGUGUGGCUUCUCGCCCAUCCCACUGCCUCUUGCU